ACUAAUUUCUUGGUUAAUGUGGUCCAAAGGAUGGGCUUAAUUUUAACACAUGUCAGUUGUGUAACCCUGGUUAUUUCUUAAAACACAGAGUGAAUCAAAGGAAAGUUAGGACACAAAAUGAGUGUAUCACUUCUCCUUAGAAACAAGGAAACAAUUAUAAGCCAGGACUGUGUAACAGUUCUAAACACGAGAUUUAUAUUUAUACAGAACUA
rnacentral:lncRNA from 1 species